ACGCUGGCGGCAGGCUUAACACAUGCAAGUCGAACGGUAACAGGAAUUAGCUUGCUAAUUUGCUGACGAGUGGCGGACGGGUGAGUAAUGCUUGGGAAUCUGGCUUAUGGAGGGGGAUAACUACGGGAAACUGUAGCUAAUACCGCGUAAAAUCUUCGGAUUAAAGGGUGGGACUUUCGAGCCACCUGCCAUAAGAUGAGCCCAAGUGGGAUUAGGUAGUUGGUUAGGUAAAGGCUGACCAAGCCGACGAUCUCUAGCUGGUCUGAGAGGAUGACCAGCCACACUGGAACUGAGACACGGUCCAGACUCCUACGGGAGGCAGCAGUGGGGAAUAUUGCACAAUGGGGGGAACCCUGAUGCGGCCAUGCCGCGUGAAUGAAGAAGGCCUUCGGGUUGUAAAGUUCUUUCGGUGACGAGGAAGGUUGAUAGGUUAAUAGCCUAUCAAAUUGACGUUAAUCACAGAAGAAGCACCGGCUAACUCCGUGCCAGCAGCCGCGGUAAUACGGGGGGUGCGAGCGUUAAUCGGAAUAACUGGGCGUAAAGGGCACGCAGGCGGUGACUUAAGUGAGGUGUGAAAGCCCCGGGCUUAACCUGGGAAUUGCAUUUCAUACUGGGUCGCUAGAGUACUUUAGGGAGGGGUAGAAUUCCACGUGUAGCGGUGAAAUGCGUAGAGAUGUGGAGGAAUACCGAAGGCGAAGGCAGCCCCUUGGGAAUGUACUGACGCUCAUGUGCGAAAGCGUGGGGAGCAAACAGGAUUAGAUACCCUGGUAGUCCACGCUGUAAACGAUGUCGAUUUGGGGAUUGGGCUUUGAGCUUGGUGCCCGUAGCUAACGUGAUAAAUCGACCGCCUGGGGAGUACGGCCGCAAGGUUAAAACUCAAAUGAAUUGACGGGGGCCCGCACAAGCGGUG
rnacentral:rRNA from 1 species